GAUGAACGCUGGCGGCGUGCCUAAUACAUGCAAGUCGAGCGAAUGGAUUAAGAGCUUGCUCUUAUGAAGUUAGCGGCGGACGGGUGAGUAACACGUGGGUAACCUGCCCAUAAGACUGGGAUAACUCCGGGAAACCGGGGCUAAUACCGGAUAACAUUUUGAACCGCAUGGUUCGAAAUUGAAAGGCGGCUUCGGCUGUCACUUAUGGAUGGACCCGCGUCGCAUUAGCUAGUUGGUGAGGUAACGGCUCACCAAGGCAACGACGCGUAGCCGACCUGAGAGGGUGAUCGGCCACACUGGGACUGAGACACGGCCCAGACUCCUACGGGAGGCAGCAGUAGGGAAUCUUCCGCAAUGGACGAAAGUCUGACGGAGCAACGCCGCGUGAGUGAUGAAGGCCUUCGGGUCGUAAAACUCUGUUGUUAGGGAAGAACAAGUGCUAGUUGAAUAAGCUGGCACCUUGACGGUACCUAACCUGAAAGCCACGGCUAACUACGUGCCAGCCGCCGCCGUAA
rnacentral:rRNA from 1 species